rnacentral:rRNA from 1 species
UGCUGAGUCAUUUUGUGGGUUUCUAGUCCUCCGGAUUGCUUUCCGUCGAUUCCUGUGGGUUUUGUAUUGCGUUGUUCUCCCCCCAAUUCCUGGAUUUUUGAUUACUCACUAUUGCGAAAGCAUUUGCCAAGGAUGUUUUCAUUAAUCAAGAACGAAGGUUAGGGGAUCUGAAACGAUCAGAUACCGUUGUGAUCUUAACCGAAACCCAUGCCGACUAGGGUGCGGACGACCUCAAUUUUUGGCGUCGUCGGUCACCUUACGAGAAAUCAAAGUCUUUGGGUUCUUUCACCUCUAUGGCCGCAAGGCUGAGCCUUAAAGUAUCCGUAUGAAGGAUUACACCAGACUCUGGAGCCCGCCGAUUAAUUUGACUACGCACAA